AAUUCGCCCUUAGAGUUUGAUCCUGGCUCAGAUUGAACGCUGGCGGCAUGGCUAAAACAUGCAAGUCGAACGCGAAAGAGGAGCAAUCCUCGAGUAGAGUGGCGAAAGGGUGAGUAAUACGUUCCUACGUGCCUUGAGGUCAGGGAUAGCCAGGGGAAACUCUGGGUAAUACCUGAUGUGGUCUCCGGAUCAAAGGCUUGCCGCCUCAAGAGCGGGGAACGUCCUAUCAGCUAGUUGGUGAGGUAAUGGCUCACCAAGGCGAAGACGGGUAGCGGGUGUGAGAGCACGGCCCGCCACAUCGGAACUGAGACACUGUCCGGACUCCUACGGGAGGCUGCAGUAACGAAUCUUCCGCAAUGCGCGAAAGCGUGACGGAGCGAUGCCGCGUGCAGGAUGAAGCCCCUCGGGGUGUAAACUGCUGUCAGGGAUUAGCAACACAAUGAGCAGUCCCAAAGGAAGAGACGACUAACUCUGUGCCAGCAGUCGCGGUAAUACAGAGGUCUCGAGCGUUAGUCGGAAUCACUGGGCUUAAAGCGUACGUAGGCGGAUCUGCAGGCGUCGUGUGAAAUACCUCGGCUCAACCGAGGAACUGCACGGCGAACCGCAGGUCUUGAGACGAGUAGGGGCGGUCGGAACGAUAGGUGGAGUGGUGAAAUGCGUUGAUAUCUAUCGGAACGCCGAAGGUGAAGACAGGCCGCUGGGCUGACACUGACGCUCAUGCACGAAAGCGUGGGGAGCAAACAGGAUUAGAUACCCUGGUAGUCCACGCCCUAAACGAUGUCGACUGGUUGUUGGGGGUU
rnacentral:rRNA from 1 species